GUUCAAAAUUACUGUUCAAGCUCCUUCGUGUGCUCUUUCGUCUCUAUCAUUACUGUUUGAAGAGCUUCUCUUUUCUACUCGAUUAAUCCAUUCAUGAUGAAUUUUCGAUCAUCCAAAUGUAUUAAAUUUGUUCUAUUUUCAUCGACUCAUACUCACAAUUAGCCAUUCUUUAAUGAGAAUCAAAACCUAGGUUACGAAACCUGCACGCUAGAAAUGUAUGCAUUCAAUUGAUCUUAGGAUGGUUGUGUUGUCCCUGUAGCUUCGAAUCGGACAGCGAAAUUUGCUAGGAGAGUUUCAAUUUCAAAUCCUGUCGGCGAUUCAUUUGGGAGACUUCGCCUCAUCAAGAGUGGAGAGAGCAUUGAUCAAACUUCCUUGGAUGAAUUGCGAGAAGGGUUGUUUUAGAAGGAAUCUGACCAUCUAAAGGAAGCAUCUUUUUCUGCAACCCAACCUGAAAGUUCUUUGCCUCUUACUUCAUCACCAUCUCAACCACCUGCAUCGACUGUAGUACAGAUGAAGGGAGUGGACAUGACAUGCCGACACCACAAGGAAGAUCUUCAUUAGAUAGUAGUGUUCAUGGAGUUUGACAUUAUUAUUGUUUUUUUUUUGUUAGACAUGAUGAACUCAUGAAUUUGAACUUAUGUUUUUCAUAUCUGAAGCGAGAUUAA